rnacentral:rRNA from 1 species
GUGUAGGCGGGUAGUUAAGUCAGAAGUGAAAUCCAAUAGCUCAACUAUUGAACUGCUUUUGAAACUGAUUACCUAGAAUAUGGGAGAGGUAGAUGGAAUUUCUGGUGUAGGGGUAAAAUCCGUAGAGAUCAGAAGGAAUACCGAUUGCGAAGGCGAUCUACUGGAACAUUAUUGACGCUGAGACGCGAAAGCGUGGGGAGCAAACAGGAUUAGAUACCCUGGUAGUCCACGCCCUAAACGAUGUACACUAGUUGUUGUGAGGCUCGACCUUGCAGUAAUGCAGUUAACACAUUAAGUGUACCGCCUGGGGAGUACGGUCGCAAGAUUAAAACUCAAAGGAAUAGACGGGGACCCGCACAAGCGGUGGAGCAUGUGGUUUAAUUCGACGAUACACGAAGAACCUUACCUGGACUUGACAUAGUAAGAACUUUCUAGAGAUAGAUUGGUGUCUGCUUGCAGAAACUUAUAUACAGGUGCUGCACGGCUGUCGUCAGCUCGUGUCGUGAGAUGUUGGGUUAAGUCCCGCAACGAGCGCAACCCUCGUCAUUAGUUGCUAACAGUUCGGCUGAGAACUCUAAUGAGACUGCCUACGCAAGUAGGAGGAAGGUGAGGACGACGUCAAGUCAUCAUGGCCCUUACGUCCAGGGCUACACACGUGCUACAAUGGGGUAUACAAAGAGCCGCAAUACGGUGACGUGGAGCAAAUCUCAAAAAUAUCUCCCAGUUCGGAUUGUAGUCUGCAACUCGACUACAUGAAGUUGGAAUCGCUA